AUUGAACGCUGGCGGCAGGCCUAACACAUGCAAGUCGAGCGGAUGAGUGGAGCUUGCUCCAUGAUUCAGCGGCGGACGGGUGAGUAAUGCCUAGGAAUCUGCCUAGUGGUGGGGGAUAACGUUCGGAAACGGACGCUAAUACCGCAUACGUCCUACGGGAGAAAGCGGGGGGAUCUUCGGACCUCGCGCCAUUAGAUGAGCCUAGGUCGGAUUAGCUAGUUGGUGAGGUAAUGGCUCACCAAGGCGACGAUCCGUAACUGGUCUGAGAGGAUGAUCAGUCACACUGGAACUGAGACACGGUCCAGACUCCUACGGGAGGCAGCAGUGGGGAAUAUUGGACAAUGGGCGAAAGCCUGAUCCAGCCAUGCCGCGUGUGUGAAGAAGGUCUUCGGAUUGUAAAGCACUUUAAGUUGGGAGGAAGGGUAGUAACCUAAUACGUUGCUACUUUGACGUUACCGACAGAAUAAGCACCGGCUAACUUCGUG
rnacentral:rRNA from 1 species